UGGAACAGGACGUCAUAGAGGGUGAGAAUCCCGUUUGGCGAGGAUACCUUUUCUCUGUAAGACUUUUUCGAAGAGUCGAGUUGUUUGGGAAUGCAGCUCAAAGUGGGUGGUAAAUUCCAUCUAAAGCUAAAUAUUGGCGAGAGACCGAUAGCGAACAAGUACAGUGAUGGAAAGAUGAAAAGAACUUUGAAAAGAGAGUGAAAAAGUACGUGAAAUUGUUGAAAGGGAAGGGCAUUUGAUCAGACAUGGUGUUUUUUGCAUGCACUCGCCUCUCGUGGGCUUGGGCCUCUCAAAAAUUUCACUGGGCCAACAUCAAUUCUGGCAGUAGGAUAAAUCAUUAAGAAUGUAGCUACCUCGGUAGUGUUAUAGCUUAUUGGAAUACUGCUAGCUGGGAUUGAGGACUGCGCUUCGGCAAGGAUGUUGGCAUAAUGGUUAAAUGCCGCC
rnacentral:rRNA from 1 species